CGUGACACUGCACCACAGGAGAGCUUAGGGGGCACCAUGCAGAAAAAAGAUGUCCCAUGAGUUUACCUCCACUUUAUCAAGCCCCAUUUCUCCACUAGAUCCAUUCAGUUACAUUGUGAUGUUAAAAAGAGCUGCAGAAAGAGAGGUUUUCAUAGCACAUUCGGCAGUAGGAUCAAUCCACGGACAUUUAGUCACUGUUAUAGGGGACUCUUAAACAACUUAUUAUUAUUUGUCACAAACAUUCUUAUUUCUAAUAAUAGAUUAUCUGUUUUUGAUGCUUUGAAAAUUGACUUCCCUGACUUUUUAGUUAAAAGCACUAAAAGGAGUGUUUAACCUUCCUCUUGUGUUAGCUUUUACUACACAUCCACUAUGUAAAGGGUUGGUUUUGACCCGUGUCUUAAAUCAGCUGUAAAUCCCGCUAAAAACAAUUCUCUAUCAUCCAUUUUGAUUCUCAUCUCUAGGUUACCUUGUUGGGCUUCAUUAUCCAUGAAAAUAUUGAUUUUAAUAUUUUUGUAGUCAGCCUCUGGGCCUUUCUUUGUCAGUAUACCCCUCACACAGAUGUGGCAGACAUGGCAGAAUGAGAAUUUCCUAAAUCUCACAUGAUUGGAAGAGGAUCUGACUGUCAGUGUGGUGCCUGACAGUGCACUUAUGAUUUCAGUUUUUGCCUUGAUUAUUAGACAUUGAUCUAACUGGGUCAACAGAAUUUUAAUAAGAGCAUUUUAUAAUUUAGUCAAUUAUUUUUUUUUAUAUUUAUUUAGUUGAAAUAGAGGUUCUUGACAAAGUCAAAAAGUCUUGAUGCAAAAAAGCUAAUUUAAGUGGUUCUUUUAAGCAUUUAAAAUCAAAACCGAGUCAGUACAGACCCGAACACAGGAGGAGGGUUAAGUAAUGUAGAGAAGUGUCACUCAUACACUAAUGUUUCUUCAGGUCCUACAUCAAAAAUUAAAACUAGUCCUGACAAAAUUGGUUAUUUCCUUGUGUGAUUAUGGUGCCUGUGUUUUGGUAGGUUUAAAGAGGUUAAACAGAUGUUAUUGGCUUACUUGGUAACGGUUCUGUUUAAAACUUUGCCGAUGAAGUCAGAGAAAUAAGUCAGGAGAAUCUGGCCGUUUAUGGCUUUUUAACAUAAUCCGUAUCUGUCCCCCUACGGUCAAUAUCAGUGUUAUCUUUUUUUUUUUUUAUGAAAAGUGAAUACUUUUCUUUUGUCAUUUUAUUUUUUUUUAAAUUAUACUUAUGGCAGACACUGAACAAGGAUUAGCAUAAAGACAUACACUUCCUGGUGGACUAGAGCAACUAUCCAACCAGGGAUUUGCCGGUUAAAAGAGCAGAAUGACUAAGAACAGGAUUUAUUGUUAAUCCAGGCGUGUGAAUGCUCUACUUCUCUUUCAGUACAAGGGUCAAACCAUGUGCGCAUUUUUCCUGUUCAGACUUUUUGUGAACAACACCAUUACUGUGGCAGGUAAAAGUGACAAGUGGUCACCUUUAGUAAGCUAAUUAAUAGUAACAACACUCAAAGAAAACUAGAAUUAAGGAUGUAACUCUGUUCAUUUGCUUACAUAGCAAAUGCACACUUUGGCACGAUCCCAAUUGUAAGACAGCAGGUGAGAGGGCUUAUGGGAAAUGCGGUAUUUAUCCUUUAAAAAAACAAAUAUUUCAACCCAGGAUGAACGUUGCUGACAGUGCCUUUAACACUAAAAAGGGUCAAUCAGUUAGUUUAUUUCAAACGAUAAGCACCUUUGUUAUUAUUUCAAUUUUUCUUAUUUAUUUAUUUAUUUUUAAUGAGAUAAACACUGGCCACCUACCACUUUGUGUUGUGUAGACUCUUCCAGACUUUACUUUUAGGGUUGACACUAGAUUUUAGACAAGGUUUUGUGUGCUAAUAGUUUAUAUUCUGCAGGUUUGAUUAAUCAUGUAUUCCUUUUUCACAAUUGGACAGUCUGCUUGAAUUUUUUAUAUUAAACAUUAAAAAAAAGUCGUCAUAUACAACAAACAAAAUUUUUUUCAUUGAUUUUUUUUGUGUGUUCCUAUGGCUUAUUUUCCUAUUUCAUUUCCCAUACUCAGUUGGCAUAUUUUGCGUCUUUGUGUUGACGUUUGGAUCCUGUCACUUCAAUGGGGUGUGUGUUGACACUGCUGUGGCAACAAGCUGUGUUUCUUAACAAUAAAG